rnacentral:rRNA from 1 species
UACGUAGGGUGCAAGCGUUAUCCGGAAUUAUUGGGCGUAAAGGGCUCGUAGGCGGCCAACUAAGUCAUACGUGAAAUCCCUCAGCUUAACUGGGGAACUGCGUGUGAUACUGGAUGGCUUGGAUUUGGGAGAGGGAUGCGGAAUUCCAGGUGUAGCGGUGAAAUGCGUAGAUAUCUGGAGGAACACCGGUGGCGAAGGCGGCAUCCUGGACCAAUAUUGACGCUGAGGAGCGAAAGCCAGGGGAGCAAACGGG